UCUUGGUCAUUUUAGAGGAAGUAAAAGUCGUAACAAGGUUUCCGUAGGUGAACCUGCGGAAGGAUCAUUAUAGUAAAUUGACCCCGAGGUUGGAUGCCGUGCCUGUGAGAGGGCACGUGCGCACCUCUCUCACACACCCCUUGGUCGGGGAUGCCUUUCGGGGUGUUCCCUUCCACCCCAUACCCCAUCCUGUCUAACCGCAUGUCUUUUGAAGCUCUACGGAGCGAGCGAUGUUUUGUACAACUUUCAACAACGGAUCUCUUGGCUUUUGCAUCGAUGAAGGACGCCGCGAAAGCGCGAAACGUAAUGUGAAUUGCAGAAUUCAGUGAAUCAUCGAAUCUUUGAACGCAUCUUGCGCUCCUCGGUAUUCCGAGGAGCAUGCCUGUUUGAGUGUCGUGACAACCACUCGACCCCUCCUUUAGGUGCACAUGAAGGAGGCGGUCGGAUUUGGACGCUUGCGGCGGUCCGAUGAGACCCCGCCGCUCGUCUUAAAUACAUUAGCUGGCCCCUUUCGAGUCGGCGAGAUGGACGGUGUGAUAAAUUGACGACUUGGAUCGCCGUUUGGCCGAUUUGGUUUGGGUUUGCUCGUCUUCGGACAACGUCAAUGUCAAUCUGACCUCAAAUCAGGUAGGACUACCCGCUGAACUUAAGCAUAUCA
rnacentral:rRNA from 1 species